rnacentral:misc_RNA from 1 species
GAUGAAGAACGUAGUGAAAUGCGAUACUUGGUGUGAAUUGCAGAAUCCCGUGAACCAUCGAGUCUUUGAACGCAAGUUGCGCCCGAAGCCAUUAGGCCGAGGGCACGCCUGCCUGGGCGUCACACGUCGUUGCCCCCCCAUCUACUCCUUCGGGAUUGCGGGGGGCGGAUGAUGGCCUCUCGUGCGCCUCGUCGCGCGGUUGGCCUAAAUGCCAAGUCCUCGGCGACGCACGCCACGACAAUCGGUGGUUGCGAAACCUCGGUUGCCUGUCGUGUGCGGUCGUCGCGCAUCGAGGGCUCGAAAAAAUUGCCGGGCUUCGGCUCGACUUUCAACGCGACCCCAGGUCAGGCGGGGUUACCCGCUGAAUUUAAGCAUAUCAAUUGGCGGAGGA